UCAUCUUAUUCCCAUCAAUCUCUGAAGUAUUUGUUAAGCCAUCCUCACCAAAUAAGUUUCUCAAUUUUGUCUCUAAAUUGGAUGCAUUGCUCGAUGUCAUUCUCAUAAUCGCGAUGGAAUGGACAGUAUUUCUUUAGAUCAUAUUGGGUCAGUAAAGCUCACAUCCUUCUUGACCUUGAUAGCUGCUCAUGUCCUUGAUCUCAAUCAAGAUUUGUGCCC
rnacentral:lncRNA from 1 species